rnacentral:rRNA from 1 species
CCUACGGGAGGCAGCAGUGGGGAAUCUUGCGCAAUGGGCGGAAGCCUGACGCAGCAACGCCGCGUGCGGGAAGAAGGCCUUAGGGUCGUAAACCGCUUUCAGGGGGGACGAAGCUUCCGGGGUUAAUAGCCUACGGGGUGACGGUACUCCCAAAAGAAGGUCCGGCUAACUACGUGCCAGCAGCCGCGGUAAUACGUAGGGACCGAGCGUUGUCCGGAAUCAUUGGGCGUAAAGAGCGUGUAGGCGGCCUAGUAGGUCUCGUGUGAAAUCCCGCGGCUCAACCGCGGACACGCACGGGAAACCCCUAGGCUCGAGUCCGGAAGAGGAGAGCGGAAUUCCUGGUGUAGCGGUGAAAUGCGCAGAUAUCAGGAAGAACACCCGUAGCGAAGGCGGCUCUCUGGGACGGUACUGACGCUGAGACGCGAAAGCGUGGGGAGCAAACAGGAUUAGAUACCCUGGUAGUCCACGCCGUAAACGAUGGAUGCUAGGUGUGGGAGGUGUCGACUCCUCCCGUGCCGAAGCUAACGCAUUAAGCANCCGCCGUGGAGACGGCCGCGAGACAACUACAAGAGUAGNGCGNGAGAGNGCGACGACGACGACGAGGAGGAG